rnacentral:rRNA from 1 species
CGGCGGACGGGUGAGUAAUGUCUGGGAAACUGCCCGAUGGAGGGGGAUAACUACUGGAAACGGUAGCUAAUACCGCAUAAUGUCUGCGGACCAAAGCGGGGGACCUCCGGGCCUCGCGCCAUCAGAUGAACCCAUAUGGGAUUAGCUAGUAGGUGGGGUAACGGCUCACCUAGGCGACGAUCCCUAGCUGGUCUGAGAGGAUGACCAGCCACACUGGAACUGAGACACGGUCCAG